UACGGAGGGUGCAAGCGUUGUUCGGAAUUAUUGGGCGUAAAGGGCGUGUAGGCGGUCUCGUAAGUCUGAUGUGAAAGCCCCGGGCUCAACCUGGGAAUUGCAUUCGAGACUGAAUAGCUAGGGUACGGUAGAGGGAAGCGGAAUUUCCGGUGUAGCGGUGAAAUGCGUAGAUAUCGGAAGGAACAUCAGUGGCGAAAGCGACUUCCUGGACCAAUACUGACGCUCAUGUGCGAAAGCGUGGGGAGCAAACAGG
rnacentral:rRNA from 1 species